GUGAGAAAUUUCGAGAACGAAAUUUUCGUAAGGGGGGAGAGUUGUAACAACCUAUUUCUCUAUUGUGUCGGAACAGUAGUUUUGGGGCACAAAUCUGACGUGUAAGUCCAAAAAUAUUUACUAUUUAAUAUUUACGAGUCAAAUAUAGUGUAAUAAUAAAAUUUUAUUUAAUGAUUUAGGUUAAAUGAAAGAAUAAUUAGGUUCAAGUGGUAGACCCUAAAGUCAAGUGAUUUUAGAAAAUGAGGUAUUG
rnacentral:lncRNA from 1 species